rnacentral:rRNA from 1 species
AUUGAACGCUGGCGGCAGGCCUAACACAUGCAAGUCGAACGAGUGGCGGACGGGUGAGUAAUGUCUGGGAAACUGCCUGAUGGAGGGGGAUAACUACUGGAAACGGUAGCUAAUACCGCAUACCAUCGGAUGUGCCCAGAUGGGAUUAGCUAGUAGGUGGGGUAAAGGCUCACCUAGGCGACGAUCCCUAGCUGGUCUGAGAGGAUGACCAGCCACACUGUAACGUGGACACGGUCCAGACUCCUACGGCAGGCAUCAGUGGGCAUGCGUUCAGAAUGGGCGCAAGCCUGAGGCAGCCAUGCCGCGUGUAUGAAGAAGGCCUUCGGGGUUUAAAGUACGUUCAGCGGGGAGGCGUUACCCGCAGAAGAAGCACCGGCUAACUCCGUGCCAGCAGCCGCGGUAAUAC